rnacentral:rRNA from 1 species
AAGGAAUAUUGGACAAUGGUCGCAAGACUGAUCCAGCCAUGCCGCGUGCAGGAAGACGGCCCUAUGGGUUGUAAACUGCUUUUGUACCAGAGAAAACCUAUCUACGUGUAGAUAGCUGAUAGUAUGGUAAGAAUAAGCAUCGGCUAACUUCGUGCCAGCAGCCGCGGUAAGACGAAGGAUGCAAGCGUUAUCCGGAUUCAUUGGGUUUAAAGGGUGAGUAGGCGGGCUUGUAAGUCAGUGGUGAAAUCUCUCAGCUUAACUGAGAAACUGCCAUUGAUACUGCAGGCCUAGAGUAUAGAUGACGUUGGCGGAAUAUGACAUGUAGUGGUGAAAUACUUAGAUAUGUCAUAGAACACCGAUUGCGAAGGCAGCUAACGAAACUAUAACUGACGCUGAGGCACGAAAGUGCGGGGAUCAAACA